GCUUAUUUCUAGAGAUAGAAAGUUUACUUCGGUACAUCGGUGACAGGUGGUGCAUGGUUGUCGUCAGCUCGUGUCGUGAGAUGUUGGGUUAAGUCCCGUAACGAGCGCAACCCUUGUCCUUAGUUACCAGCACGUUAAGGUGGGCACUCUAAGGAGAUGCCGGUGACAACCGGAGGAAGGUGGGGAUGACGUCAAGUCAUCAUGGCCCUUACGGCCUGGGCUACACACGUGCUACAAUGGUCGGUACAAAGGGUUGCCAAGCCGCGAGGUGGAGCUAAUCCCAUAAAACCGAUCGUAGUCCGGAUCGCAGUCUGCAACUCGACUGCGUGAAGUCGGAAUCGCUAGUAAUCGUGAAUCAGAAUGUCACGGUGAAUACGUUCCCGGGCCUU
rnacentral:rRNA from 1 species